GAAAUAACAAAUGCGGUCACAUCAGUCUAUAAGGGCUUUUUUUUUUUUUUACUGUAGAUCAGUGGAAUAAACAGCCGAAAUGAUAUCAACAUACCAUUCGAUUAAAUCCAAUGUAGUUUAUCAUGAGAAAUACAUGUCUAAUGCAACAACAACAAAACACAUGUAAAAGCAACCCUUCUAGAAAAGUGAAGAAUAUUCUAAACAUGUCUCUUUGACACCUGGCGGAUGGAAGGUGCAACAACAGAAUCAGCAGCAGACGUUUCCUUACAGCCGCAUUCUACGAGCCACCAGAGGCAAAGAGGAGUGACUUGCACAGUUUUGAAAGCAAGCAGGGAAAAUGGCAGACGCCGAGGACGAGAAGCUACCGUCCGGGUGGGAAAAGCGGAUGAGCCGCAGUUCCAGUGAUGGGAGUGGCGAGCCAGACAAGGUGCGUUGUUCCCACCUCCUGGUGAAGCACAGCCAAUCGCGUCGCCCGUCCUCCUGGAGGGAGGAGAACAUCACGCGCUCCAAAGAGGAGGCCCUCGACCUCAUACAAAAGUACAUAGAGCAGAUGCAGUCAGGAGAGGAGGAGUUUGAGGCUUUGGCCUCUCAGUUCAGUGACUGCAGCUCCGCACGCAACGGAGGAGACCUGGGACUGUUCGGCAGAGGUCAGAAGCUGUUUGAGGACCUGUCCUUCGCUCUGAAGGUGGGAGACAUUAGUUGUGAUAGAGGUGUGUGUGUGUUUCAGGUCAGAAGCUGUUUGAGGACCUGUCCUUCGCUCUGAAGGUGGGAGACAUUAGUUGUGAUAGAGGUGUGUGUGUGUGUGUGUUUCAGGUCAGAAGCUGUUUGAGGACCUGUCCUUCGCUCUGAAGGUGGGAGACAUUAGUUGUGAUAGAGGUGUGUGUGUGUGUUUCAGGUCAGAAGCUGUUUGAGGACCUGUCCUUCGCUCUGAAGGUGGGAGACAUUAGUUGUGAUAGAGGUGUGUGUGUGUGUGUUUCAGGUCAGAAGCUGUUUGAGGACCUGUCCUUCGCUCUGAAGGUGGGAGACAUUAGUUGUGAUAGAGGUGUGUGUGUGUGUGUUUCAGGUCAGAAGCUGUUUGAGGACCUGUCCUUCGCUCUGAAGGUCAGAUGCAGAAGCCGUUUGAGGAUGCGUCCUUCGCUCUGAAGGUGGGAGACAUGAGUGGUCCGGUGUUCACCGAUUCUGGAGUUCACGUCAUCCUUCGCACGGGAUAGAGACAAGGCUCUGAUACCCCCA